CGGUGUGUCCUUCAAUUGAACUCUUUGCUCUUUUUAAAAUUCAAUUCUUUUUGUGUAGUGCUUUGCUGAAAACAGCACUGAACACCAGUUCCCAUCUUACGAGCCUCAUGGCUUCUACAAACAAUCUAUCUGCUGCCACCUGAAAACCUGUCACAAAACAACUGCCUCCUUUGCAAUUUACAAGGUAUUGGAAUAACAACCAAAAUGAUGGCGUGUAUUGUUACUUAAAGUCAUCGGUGCACUUGGAUCCCAGUGCAACCUUUGCAUGGCUUCAUUCAGCAACCAGAGAGCAAGAGAAUAAAGCUGUAAGAUAAGGUGAACUGGCCAGGAGCCAGAAGAGAAAUAGAUAGGGAAGGAUACCCUGAGACUCAGGUGGAGUAGGACAAGACACCAAAGCAAGAGAUCACAAUAGCUGUUGACUCCAGAAGGCUGUAUAAGGCCUCUCGUCUAAAGGCAGUUUGCUUUUGCUCAUCUUGGGUCAUGUAGAGACGAUUCAUCUUCUCCUGCAUGUCAUCCUGGCUAACCUGCUCAGACACAUUCUGAUAUUUUAGAGGGUGAAAACAUGAGGAAGCAAAGUCAGCUUAAUUACAAACUUUAAUAAGUCUUGUAGUGAGUUUUGUUUCACUAGCUGCCUCAGUACUCGGCAGACAAUCUGGAGUGGGAGAGUAAAAGAAAACCUUUCCACUAUUACCUCUUCAUUGUAAAAUGAAAUGGCUUGGAUCCCUAUACUGGAAAAGAAAAAUAGUAUAAGCUAUACAUAGCAACUGCCAGUUAGAUUAAAAAAUAAAAACAAGCAAACAAACAAAAAGACUAGCAGUCUCUAUACCGUGGUUGGAUCUGUUGCAGAUGUUUCUAAUGAAAGCACUACAGCUAACAGCAGAGUUAACAGAGGGGUGACACAGUGACAAACCGCAAUUGUUAUCUUGAUUGCUAUCAAGAUUACGUAACACCAAAAGGCAGACUGGGAAAACAAAGGACUUACUGAAAGCAGAAAGUGAGAAUAUUUAGAAAAGCAGAAC
rnacentral:lncRNA from 1 species